rnacentral:tRNA from 1 species
GACGAGGUAGUUCAAUGGUAGAACAAUGAAAUGAGAAUGUAUGUCAUGUAUGUGACAUCUACAGCAAUUUUAUUCCAAUACAAGGCAUGUGUUGGCGGUUCAAAUCCGCCCCUCGUCU